CAAACGAUAACAAGUGCAAAAAGCAAUUGUAAGAAAUUACAAAUUUAGAAAAUAAAAUGCACACAUAUGCGUCUUACAGAACACCCAGUUUCCAGAUUAACGCAUUGACUUCGGUUAGCCAUCCUUUUUCGUCUAGCUUUCAGAUUUCAAGGACGGAGCGGAUGUAUCUACGCUGUCCGGAAGGGUCACAGCGGCGAAUCCGUAGAUCGUGAUUAAUGGAGCGGGUCGAGCGGGAUCUACGUGCCGACGAAUCGAGGAGCGCUUAGCGUGAAAUUUACCCGAUGAAUUGUUCUCACAAUUAUCAUGAUCUACGGGUUCUCGGGGAUCCAAGAAACACGAAAGUCUCGAAGCAGUCGGCUAAUCUCUGUUCGGCGAACCCUUCACUUUGGCACCCCCUUCCCACCCUCUCUGCCUCCCUGCCGGCGCGCGGUCUUCUCUUCCUCACAGCCGCUGGCAUCACCCUUUCGGGGCACCUUCUCACCCACACCCACACCCGCGCGAUACUUUUCGACGGGGAACGGUUUCGCCGACGCGAGAAUCUCGGAAAUUUUUAAGUCGAUCGCGAAACUAUAAUUAUCCUUUAGGCUAUGCGCGGAGUAUGCAGUGAGUAGGUGCGCGCCGACCUUCGCAACACGGUUGCCCGAUAUUCUCUCUCAAAUUUUCCUUGAAAUAUCGUCAUAUAUAUCAAAAAUAAAUCAACAAGAUCAAUUUAAGGUAAAAUGACGUGAAAUGUUUUUAUAUAAGUUUUUUUUUUUCUCUUAACAUCGUCAUCGUCUGUUGGGAAGAAAAGGAAUUGGUUACAUGCCACUGGUUAAAUGUUUCAUUUUGCGAUAUUCUCGCGUGUCGAUAUUAUUUUUUUGGCUAGCCGAUGCAAGAUUUUUUUUUUCUCCCGCUACAGAACCGCUUUUAUUCCGCUUCGCGGACAGAUUGAUCAUCGACGAAGACGGAACGCUGCUAGACACUUUCAAGUAUCUUCCGAGAUUGCUUCCCCACAUUAUAGAAGAAUUUUGGAUGUUCGUGCAAAGUGAUUUAUGAAGGAUUUCUUGCCCGAGCUAAAAACCAUUUUGACCGGUGCAACGGCAAUCUCGGUCACGGUGAUUUGAUCAAAUCAACCCUACGUUAUUAUCUGCAAUUAAUGAAAAUUGCAAGGAUUACCGCCUUUCGAGUCCAUUGGGAAUCUCGCUGCAUGAUUUGCGGGAGCAACGUGUGCCGCCGCGUACCGUUACUUCGAAGUUGCGUGCAUACCUGCAUGUCUAUUACAAUUUUUAUGUCAAAAGUUUAACAUAAAAUUUGAGAUUACCGAUCCGGUAUAACAUUGUGCAAUUCUUUAUAAUGUCACGCAAUGCACAACGUCAAAAUUGGGUCAUCGUAUAUAUAAUACGAAUGGAGAGGUGACACGUUGUGCGAACUGAAAUAAAAAAGGAGGCGUGUCGGGGAGAACAUUACCCACCAGGGACGCAUUGUAAAGUGGCAAAGAUAUAGCCUCGGGCACUUAUUAAUAUACAGCUACUCGGUAAUUUCGACGUCUUCGGCAUGUUCGAUAGCUGUAUUGUUUGGAAAGCUGAAAAGAUGUGUGUGUGGUGUGUGUGAGUAAAGGUAUUCACAAAAUAUUUAAAAAGAUAUUGGCUGUGUGUGUUGUGUGUAUAUGUAAUAUAUUUUGUUAAAUUGUCGAUUAAUUUCUGCAAGCUGUCAUAAAAUUGAUAGCAAUUAAGAUAAUACAAUCAUUAUAAACAUAGAUAGAGAAGCACACUACUUAUAUAUAAUGUACAGGGUGGUAAAAAAUUAAUUUUUUACCACCCUGUACAUACAACUUACGAUGAGUGAUGAUAGUAUAAUAUGUGUAAU